rnacentral:rRNA from 1 species
GUGGGGAAUCUUGCGCAAUGGGCGAAAGCCUGACGCAGCCAUGCCGCGUGAAUGAUGAAGGUCUUAGGAUUGUAAAAUUCUUUCACCGGGGACGAUAAUGACGGUACCCGGAGAAGAAGCCCCGGCUAACUUCGUGCCAGCAGCCGCGGUAAUACGAAGGGGGCUAGCGUUGCUCGGAAUUACUGGGCGUAAAGGGCGCGUAGGCGGACAGUUUAGUCAGAGGUGAAAGCCCAGGGCUCAACCUUGGAAUUGCCUUUGAUACUGGCUGUCUUGAGUACGGGAGAGGUGAGUGGAACUCCGAGUGUAGAGGUGAAAUUCGUAGAUAUUCGGAAGAACACCAGUGGCGAAGGCGACUCACUGGCCCGUUACUGACGCUGAGGCGCGAAAGCGUGUGGAGCAAACAGGAUUAGAUACCCGUGUAGUCC